AUCUCAAACAAAAACAAAUGGAUCAUACAACUGCUAUGAAUACAUUCGACUCGUUUGCUUCCAUCAAUCGGUAAGUGAGAAAGAUGAUUUCUCCCAUCACCACAGUACGGAUUUCCACUUCUAUCACAGCAGCCAACAACAUCCGUUUUCCUGCAGCAGUAACCUCCAACCCCUGUUGGCAAUGCCGGGGGACUACAUCAACAGCAGCAGCAGCAGAAUUUGACCAUGGUAUGGUCUUGCAAAGAACUUUCCCCAUUAGAGGUUCCGUGCUUCGCGCACAUUAAAAAAUCCUCUUCAGACACGAAAACUCAAGGACAAGGAGGUAUUUAUCAACUUGCUCAGCUGAAUUACCACCCCGGAGGAACCCGAAUGCACUGAUUCCGUUGUAUAGUAGAAUGAAAAUAGGCGAGGUAAGCGAACGUAAUCGCAUGAUAUUUUAAUGUUCGCAUUUUUAUCCGGAUCAUACAACUGCUAUGAAUACAUCCUCAAUCAAUCGGCGAGUGAGAAAGAUGAUUUCCCUCAUCACCACAUUGCUUAUUUCCACUUCUGUCACACCAGCCAACAGCAUCAGCUUUCCCGCAGCAGUAUCCUUUAAGUCCAGGCUGCUAUUCCGGGGAACAGCAUCAACAGCAACAGCAGCAGGACCUGCCCAUCGAUAGUAUUUCGAGCAAUUUUCCCCCUCGGAGAUCUCGUGCUUCACGCACAUUGAAGAAUCCUCCUCAGCCACAUAUCUGUGUCAUCAAGGGCAAGGAGGUAUUCAUCAAUGUAC